UACGUAUUGCGCAAGCGUUUUCCUUAAUUAUUGGGCGUAAAGAGCUCUUAUGCGGUUUUUCGCUUCUGCUGUGAAAACCUAAGGCUCAACCUUGGGCUUGCAGUGGGUACGGGCAGACUAGAGUGCGGUAGGGGUGACUGGAAUUCCUGGUGUAGCGGUGGAAUGCGCAGAUACCAGGAGGAACACCGAUGGAGAAGGCAGGUAAAUGGGCCGCAACUGACGCUGAGGAGAGAAAGCAUGGGGAGCGAACAGG
rnacentral:rRNA from 1 species